ensembl:lncRNA
GCUGGACCCGCUUUCGAGUCUGGGCUAGCCCCAAAUUCGCUGCACUGGGAUCAAGUGGGAUGGCACCCGCGAGGUCCAUUGGGGAGGCAUGUACAUGUGAGGGACUUUGUUUUAGAGAAGCAUGUGGACACACUCUCCCUAGAAUAUAUGUCCUCCAGACGUUAUGUUGGAAGUCUUUUAUACCAAGUCUCACCACAAGGGGGAGACAGGCAUUUGUGAGCUCUGGUUGGUGAUGUACUUUGACAUUGGUGCCACUU